UUCCCGGUGGCCAGAAAUGUGAUUUCCUUGGUGAUUAACCCACUACAGUUGGGAACAUUAUGAAGAAAAGCGUGUGUUCAGCGCGUGAGCCACGCCAGUCCGUCGUGCGCCCGGUGAUUCAGCCAAUUGCUGACACACUCAUCUCCUAGUUCACAGGGCUCCACUGCACUUUGAAAAGUCAAAGUUGUGGAAUGUGUGUGUGGGGGGGGGGGGUGUUGCGAGCGUGUGGGGCACUCACACACACACACACACACACACACACAAUGUACUGAUGCCAAGGGCUAGAACUUCUAACCAAAUUGCCAAAAAAGAAAAAGAAGAAAAAGGAAAACUUCCUAAUGAAGAGAUGGAGAACGCCUUUGAUGUGCAUAUUUUAAUAACAAAACAACCCCUAUCACUUGUCUACAAAAUAAAAACAAAAUAAAACUCCAAGACAUGGAAUUAGCUGAAAUGUACAGCAGGCCUUGUUACUGAAUCUGGAGCUUCCCAGUUGGGGGCGAGAUUGGCUGCCAGAUGAGCUCCAGCAAUACUUCUGUAUUGGGACCACAGCCCAUAGCAUGAUGCCACCACCACAU